rnacentral:lncRNA from 1 species
UUUUUUUUUUUCGUGCGGACGAGUGAAAUCGUAAGCUUGAGUGAAGAUGCAAGGAAAAGUUUAGUGGAAGCUUCAAGUUCCUUUAUGAAUUUUACUAUCAGAUUGCCUAUUACAAUACUGCUGCUUCGGUUUUGUGCUCGACAACGAUCAAGAAUGAAGAUAAGAUGGAGUUCAGCAAGGUCCUAGAAGCAAUUAAUAAAGGGUAACUUUAAUGACAAGUAUGAGGAAUACAGGAAAAAGUGGGGGUGGCAGCAUCGUCGGUUCCAAAUCCCAGGCCAAAACUAAGG